rnacentral:rRNA from 1 species
GGCCGCAACUUUACCACUUUGGAAACAGCGGUUCUCUUCUGACCACCAAAGUUAAGCAAUUUUGGGCCCGGUUAGUACUUUCAUAAGUGACUCACUGGGAAUACUGUAUAUUGAGGCCG